rnacentral:rRNA from 1 species
UGCAGUCGAGCGAACAGAGAAGGAGCUUGCUCCUUUGACGUUAGCGGCGGACGGGUGAGUAACACGUGGGCAACCUACCUUAUAGUUUGGGAUAACUCCGGGAAACCGGGGCUAAUACCGAAUAAUCUAUUUCACUUCAUGGUGAAAUACUGAAAGACGGUUUCGGCUGUCGCUAUAAGAUGGGCCCGCGGCGCAUUAGCUAGUUGGUGAGGUAACGGCUCACCAAGGCGACGAUGCGUAGCCGACCUGAGAGGGUGAUCGGCCACACUGGGACUGAGACACGGCCCAGACUCCUACGGGAGGCAGCAGUAGGGAAUCUUCCACAAUGGGCGAAAGCCUGAUGGAGCAACGCCGCGUGAGUGAAGAAGGUUUUCGGAUCGUAAAACUCUGUUGUAAGGGAAGAACAAGUACAGUAGUAACUGGCUGUACCUUGACGGUACCUUAUUAGAAAGCCACGGCUAACUACGUGCCAGCAGCCGCGGUAAUACGUAGGUGGCAAGCGUUGUCCGGAAUUAUUGGGCGUAAAGCGCGCGCAGGCGGUCCUUUAAGUCUGAUGUGAAAGCCCACGGCUCAACCGUGGAGGGUCAUUGGAAACUGGGGGACUUGAGUGCAGAAGAGGAAAGUGGAAUUCCAAGUGUAGCGGUGAAAUGCGUAGAGAUUUGGAGGAACACCAGUGGCGAAGGCGACUUUCUGGUCUGUAACUGACGCUGAGGCGCGAAAGCGUGGGGAG